rnacentral:rRNA from 1 species
AGACAGAGGGUGCGAACGUUGCUCGGAAUUACUGGGCGUAAAGCGCGUGUAGGCGGACUUGUAAGUCGAUUGUGAAAGCCCUGGGCUCAACCCAGGAACUGCAUUCGGAACUACAAGUCUUGAGUGGUGGAGAGGGAAGCGGAAUUCCCGGUGUAGAGGUGAAAUUCGUAGAUAUCGGGAGGAACACCAGCGGCGAAGGCGGCUUCCUGGACACCAACUGACGCUGAGACGCGAAAGCGUGGGGAGCAAACAGGAUUAGAAACCCGAGUAGUCC